rnacentral:rRNA from 1 species
UACGUAGGAGACGAGCGUUGUCCGGAGUUACUGGGCGUAAAGGGUGCGCAGGCGGCCCUGCGCGUCGCGAGUGAAAUCUCCCGGCUCAACUGGGAGGGUGGUCGCGAGACGGCAGGGCUUGAGGCUCGGUGAGGGGCGUGGAAUUCCAGGUGUAGCGGUGAAAUGCGUAGAUAUCUGGAGGAACACCGGUGGCGAAGGCGGCAUCCUGGACCGGUAUUGACGCUGAGGCGCGAAAGCUAGGGGAGCAAACGGGGAUUAGAAACCGGG